GUAGUCCACGCCCUAAACGAUGUCAACUAGUUGUUGGGAGAAUUUAUCUCUUAGUAACGCAGCUAACGCGCGAAGUUGACCGCCUGGGGAGUACGGUCGCAAGAUUAAAACUCAAAGGAAUUGACGGGGACCCGCACAAGCGGUGGAUUAUGUGGAUUAAUUCGAUGCAACGCGAAAAACCUUACCUACCCUUGACAUGUCAGGAAGCCCACAGAGACGUGGGUGUGCCCGAAAGGGAACCUGAACACAGGUGCUGCAUGGCUGUCGUCAGCUCGUGUCGUGAGAUGUUGGGUUAAGUCCCGCAACGAGCGCAACCCUUGUCAUUAAUUGCCAUCAUUCAGUUGGGCACUUUAAUGAGACUGCCGGUGACAAACCGGA
rnacentral:rRNA from 1 species